AGUAGCUUAGCCGAGCUGUCUAAGGCCCUGGAUUAAGGCUCCAGUCUUUGCAGGGAUGUGGGUUUAAAUCCCACUGGUGCCA
rnacentral:tRNA from 1 species